GAUUCCUAUGAUUGGGUUCUACCUCUCUCAUGGACACUCAUGUUUUUUAGGGGAAGACCUGCAUGUCGACAUGAUCAAAGAGUUCACAUGAGUGGUGGCCUGCGGGUUACUGAUUACUGUAGAAUGGAUGUUAGAGUUUCAGCCAAUCAACAUCCAGGAUCCAAACUACCUGGGCUAUAAUGCCUCUUUAAGAUAAAGGUUUGCUCUUCAACCAAAGUCCUGUCAGUGAAAUCCUCUGCUGCUCUAACACAUCUCUCCAUCUCCUCGUGGGACCUCUGCUGCUGCACUGGUCUCCUGGUUCACUCUACAUUUACCUGUGUCAACUGCAGAGGUCAUCAUGAGUGUUGAAACUAAGGCGCCCCGGGAGCCUUGCUGCUCCAAACUGAAGGUAAUGUUUCGGAGAACGCAUGACUCAACCUUCGCCUCUCCCGAGCCCGUUGGGGUGUUGCAGCGAUGAGACAAGAUCGCAAUUGGAUAUCACAAAAUUGGAGAGCAAAAGGGAGUAAAAAAUCGUGUGAGAAGGAGGCAGGCUCGUCCAUGUGGAUCUAUGUAUUCCUGGGUAACAUGCUGCGUGGGAUUGGAGAGACGCCUGUCAUGCCUUUAGGAGUGUCCUAUCUGGACGACUACGCCAGAAAGGAGAACACUGCCACCUACCUUGAGUGUUUACAGACUGUUGGCAUCCUGGGGCCUGUAUUUGGCUUCAUGUUUGGCUCCUUCUGUGCCAAGAUCUAUGUGGACAUUGGCUCUGUGGAUUUAGAGAGCAUCUCCAUCAACCACAAGGACUCUCGCUGGGUGGGGGCCUGGUGGCUAAGCUUACUGGUAUCUGGCUUCCUGAUGCUCCUGGCUGGGAUUCCAUUUUGGUUCCUCCCCAAUACUCUGGCUAAGCAGGGCAAGAGCCCCAGCAAAAAGAAACAGGAGGACAUACAGGCGAAGAACUCCUCUGACACCCCAGAGGAGGAGCAGGAGCAGGGCAGUUUCCUACCAGAGGACAACACUGAGGAGGAUGCUGUGGUCCCCUGGUGUACGAUGGCAGCCUGGUGUCAGAGUGUAACAGAGACUGCUCCCGCUUGAAUGGGGAGUGGGACCUUGUGUGUUCAGACAACGGCAUCACCAACACUUCCCCCUGCCACAGUCUGCUCCAGCUUUACAGGAUACGGCAAGAACACGGCGCAGCAGCACACUGCCCUCCAAAGCCUGCAAAAAAAUCGCCGGACUGCCCCUUUCCUAGCUCUGCAUGGAACAUCCAGGGUCACAUCCUUGGUGACAUGUGGGGUGACAUCCGGGAUGACCACAGCAUCAUCCUCUGGAAAGGGAGAAAAGAGGGACAUAAUGUAAACAAAUGCAAACCGUAGGUUCUAAACACUGCCAGUUGAAAGGUUCUACUAAGAUGUCAUGACAAAUGGCACCUGUCAGAGUGCUCUCUAAGUGUUACUCACCUGCUUGGAUGUCAGCUGGCAGAGUGGCGAAGACGGCCAUCGUGAGAGUCCUUUCUUCAGGUGUGACAUCCAUAACCUCCAGGAGGGAAGAGAUGGGCUCUGCCUCUGCAUUAGGGGUGAUGUCCACAACCUCCAGGUGGGAAGAAGCCAGAUCUGCCUCUGUGUUAGGGAUAAUGUCUUGAACCUCCAGGUGGGAAGAAGCCUGGUCUGCCUCUGUGUUAGGGGUGAUGUCCACAACCUUUAGGUGGGAAGAAGCCGAGUCUGCCUCUGUGUUAGGGAUAAUGUCUUGAACCUCCAGGUGGGAAGAAGCCUGGUCUGCCUCUGUGUUAGGGGUGAUGUCCACAACCUCCAGGUGGGAGGAAGCCAGGUCUGUGUUAGGGGUGAUGUCCACAAAAUCCAGGUGGGAAGACGCCUGGUCUGCCUCUGGGUUAGGGAUGAUGUCCACAACCUCCAGGUGGGAAGAAGCCGGGUCUGCCUCUGUGUUAGGGAUGAUGUCCACAACCUCCAGGUGGGAAGAAGCCUGUGUUGCCUCUGUAUUAGGGGUGAUGUCCACAACCUCCAGGUGGGAAGAAGCCGGGUCUGCCUCUGGGUUAGGGGUGAUGUCCACAACCUCCAGGUGGAAAGAAGCCUGUGUUGCCUCUGUGUUAGGGGUGAUGUCCACAACCUCCAGGUGGGAAGAAGCCGGGUCUGCCUCUCUGUUAGGGGUGAUGUCCACAACCUUUAGGUGGGAAGAAGCCUGGUCUGCCUCUGUGUUAAGGGUGAUGUCCACAACCUCCAGGUGGAAAGAAGCCGGGUCUGCCUCUGGAUUAGGGGUGACAACAACAAUCCUGAUGAGCUCUACUACUACAAGGCACCAAGAUGUCAUCACAACAGGCAUCUGUCAGAGUGCUCUCUAUUAGUGCUACUCACCUGCUUGGAUGUCAGCUGGUAGUGUGGUGGAGACGGCCACCGCAAGGACAGGGGGGACUGGUAAGGUGGCUGCAGGGGGCUGGAAGCAGCUCUACACCUCGUCCGCCACAAAGGCACAGACAGAUCUCAUAUAAAAAGGGCUUUGGAGGUCAUCCGUGGAGAAGGACUGACUGAUUCUCCCUUCGGAUUGACCACACAGAUUCAAAAGCAGCAGCCUGGGAGAAAGGGAUGUGAGGGGAAGGAGCCGUUAACAUGCUGGAGAGCUUCUCCACCAUGCCCACGGCCAUCCCGCUUAUUAGGAUUGGGUGCUCUGAAUGGCCUUCCUCUGGCUGAAGCCACAGGGCCAGGAGGAGCAUGGGCACCACCUCCACCACCACCUGGGAUGGGCUGAGCAGGUUGCUUUGGGGCUCAUUGGACAGCUUGCCCAGAAUGCUCCUCACAGCUCUCUCCACGAUGGUGUGGACCUUAAGGUCACUGAAAUCAACAGAAAGGAGAAGACAAAGCUAAACGAUAUGCAAUGUGCUCACAGAGAACACUGUCUUAGUCAGUUUCUGCGUAGUUCCAGAUGUGUAGAUAAAUGGAUCAAGUCAUAUGCAGGACAGUACAUGGAACUCACAUGUCAGCUGGCGAGGUGGGGUGGAUGGAGCGGCGAAGCUUGCAGACAGCCUCGUGCUCUAUGUCUAUCAUUUUUAGGCAAGUGUUUACUUCCCAGGCCUGCCGUAGGAAACAUGAAGAAACAGGAAGUCCCAUUAGUGUAAUUUCACAACAGAUCUAUUCUGCUGUACUAACUAGUUGUUGAAAGGCUAGUAAAGAGCUCACUGACUUGUAGUAUGUCUCUAACUCUCAUUCUCUUACCAGCCGGGCGAGGUCGUUCCCCUCCUCCAGGGUUUCUUUCCACAACCUUCAAAUAAAACACAGAGCAAUUCAACGUUCCUGGGUUCUGAUUUUUCUGUUGUUUAUUUUACCCACACCUCCUGGAGUAAUGCUGGUGUUGGCAGGGAAUGGCAGUGAAGGUGAGUGCUGAUGUGGUACUCACCUCUCCCUUAGGGAUUUUUUGCCCUGAGACACCAGCCAGUCGCUCAUGUGCUCCGUGGUGACAUGGGGCGGGAUCUGGCCUUGACUCUGGAGCAGCAGAUAGUGGACCAUGAGCUUCUUCUGCAAGAUCAGGUAAGGUGUGAUACCGUGCCACGAAAUACCAUAUCAUGUGCUUUCAGAAGGGCCUCUCGCAACAUUUCACAACUGCUCAUACCUCACAAUAUGCAAGUGAUAUUAAGAACUUUUAUGACCAACUUCUCUAAACUGUCUUGAAAUAAUGCUUGUUUUUGUGGGAUGAAUCUUACCUGUUUAUUGUAAUAUGCUUCCUCCCAGCAGGCCUGCAGAGUCUGAAAAUAAAGGCUGCUUCUACAGAAUUCCUUUGAAGAGAAUGAAAAUAAUUAUGCUUUGUUAUGCACAUUAUGCACAGGCAUUUACAGUAUGCUAAAAUUAAUUUAUCUUAAGAUUACCUUUGUGGGACCAUAAGUGAACUCCGGAAUGCACCAAACCCUAUCCAUGGUAAGAUGGGGAAGAAAUGCAGCGUUAUAGAUAUACGGGUGCUCUAGAGAUUUACAGGAAUGACUUAAAGUCGUGAAUGAUCAAUGACUGUGGAGUCGUCCAAUAUGCUGCACUUAGAAUUGAGUUGUAGGCUGUGUUUGGCACAAAAUAGAAUGUUUACAUUCUAUUGCUAUGGAGAAAUGGAAUGUGUAGAACCUGUAUAAAUGGGUAUGCUUCUAUGUCUUUAUUUCGUGAAAGAUUAAGCUCUUUAUUUUGUCAUAAUGUGUACAUGAGGAUGUUGGAGCCCAUUCCGAUUCAUGAGGCGGGUAUCCAGGUGCAUGUUGCUUAGACCUACUGAUCCAACCUUGGCUUACAAGUGAAAUUAAUUGUUUAUAUAUGCCUAUACAAAUCUAUUGACCACAUCUCUUUAAAGCAAUGAUUGUCAAUUGAAAAUGUGGUCGUUGUGUUAUCCUGUUGUGCGCCUGGUGUGUCAGAGUCCUCUUAAGCACAUUAUUCCAAUAUUUCCGAGCUCUGAAUUGUAGCUCUGAAAAGGUACACUUUUGCAAAGCUACUCGGUUAAAAAUAAGAGUAUGAAUGACAAUAAACGUAUUACUUGGAUUAUAUGCAUAAUAGUGUAGUAAACAAUAUCGCUCAGCAUGGGAACUUUUGGUGUGGGGGAAGUAUCCGUUAUGUCUCCAUGGCGCGUAAAGACCAUCACUUCGUUGUCUUGUUGGUAAUAGUAAAAAUGCAUGACAGUGCGCAUUGUAAUAGUCGAACAGUUGUUUUUCAUUUUGUUUCUCACAAACAGAUAUUUGAGAAUGGAAUUUUGUACAGUUGUACCUAUGACGCACAGACACACUAAAGCUGUACAGUGUAGUUUGAGAAGUCAGUUUAAUUUAUUUGCAGAUCGAAAGAUGUAACAUUUGAA